GAUCCUGCCGGAGGUUACUGCUAUCGAGAUUCGACUAAGCCAUGCGAGUUGAAUGUUCUUCGUGAACAUGGCGGACUGCUCAGUAACACGUGGACAACCUACCCUUGGGUCCGGCAUAAUCCUGGGAAACUGGGAAUAAUUCCGGAUAGGUCACCGAUGCUGGAAUGCGCGGUGGCCGAAAGCUCCGGCGCCCGAGGAUGGGUCUGCGGCCUAUCAGGGUUGUAGUGGGUGUAACGUACCUACUAGCCUACGACGGGUACGGGUUGUGAGAGCAAGAGCCCGGAGAUGGAUUCUGAGACACGAAUCCAGGCCCUACGGGGUGCAGCAGGCGCGAAGACUUUACAAUGCGGGAAACCGUGAUAAGGGGAUCUCGAGUGCCAGCAUAUAAUGUUGGCUGUCCAGAUGCCUAAAAAGCAUCUGUUAGCAAGGGCCGGGCAAGACCGGUGCCAGCCGCCGCGGUAACACCGGCGGCCCGAGUGGUAACCGCUAUUAUUGGGUCUAAAGGGUCUGUAGCCGGCCAGGUAAGUCCCUUGGGAAAUCUGGCAGCUCAACUGUCAGGCUGCUAGGGGAUACUGUUUGGCUUGGGACCGGGAGAGGUGA
rnacentral:rRNA from 1 species